AACUCCUUCACAGACACACCUAGAAUAACAUUUGGCCAGAUAUCCAGGCACCCCAUCACCCAGUCAGGUUGACUCAUAAAAUUAAUUAUCACAGAUGCUGCUGCUGCUGCCGUGUGACCAAACUUCGAAAAUCACAGCUUGGGAGUGUCUGCCUCUCUUUGAGGUGGGGUUAAAUCAUUAUCCCCCUGUCUCACAAUCUACAGGGGGAGCACCUAUGAUCACGGGACAGGAGUCACAGCAGGAUAGGCACAGCCAACCACAGGAGCAAAACUCAACUGGCUGGCAGACUGUCAGGGGCAUAGAGUCCUCAGCUGAGUGGCUGGAAUCCUGUGUUGCUUGUCAUCAGAUCCUAAAAGUCACUUCAUCUCCCUGGGCUGGAGACUCACUUAGGAUCCGUGGAUAAAACACAGGACCUGCUAACACUAAAACCUUAUUUGCUAUUUAUCUGAAAUUCAAAUUUAACCUGCAUCUCUUUCUCUUUUUUCUUGCUUCUUCUUCUUUUUUUGCUAAAUUUGGCAACAGGGCAGGCCACUGCUGCUGUCAUUAGAAAGACUACUUCCAGCCCAGGCGAGGGGAGGAGAGCAAAUCUGGAGAUGGUAACCUGCUCCCCUGGGCCAGAGGAAGCAGAGACCUUCUCAUGAGGACCAGGCGAGCAGAAAUGCCUCCUGCUCUUCCUGCCAGGGUGGAGAAGAUUCUAGCCCAGAUUCAGAAGAGGAGCUGACUGGCCUGUGGCAACCCCAAGCUGGAUGGCCAGCUGCGGAGGCAGAGGUGCGUCAGGUUUCUCAGCCCCCAGGCCGAGGAGGCCCCUACACCCACUUGCCCCAAGAAGCUGGGGCCCAGGCCAGAGAGACAGCCCCAGAGCUGAUUUGGGGGCGGGGAGCUUCCUACAGGCCCUGGAGGUGCCAGGAGUGGGUGAGGUGUGGGGUGGUGGACUCUACAGCCUGGGCACACGGUUUGUCCGGGGGAUCUCUUGGCUGCUGGUAUGGUGGGGAGGUGUUCCUGUAGCUGCUGCAGGCACCUCUGUUUCCGUGUGAGCUCCGUGGAUGAGAAGUGGGGUUGUGGAAUGUGUGUCUAGAAUCUGCCAUCUCCAGCUCUGUGCCUGUUUCCCCCAGCCCCAUAGGCCCCAAGACAAAGCAAGAGAAAUGAGAGGAAAUCACAGCUGGGUCAAAGCUCUGGGCCACGAGUACCGAGGCAGGUGGUGGCAUCCAGACCCCCUCUCCAUGGCGCCCGUGAGAGCACAAGGCAGAGGAGAGGAUAGACCCCUGGCUUGAGGGGCCAACCACCAGCUUCUCAGCCAGCUCUGUCACUCACUUGCUGCUUGGCAAGUCACUUAACUGCUCCAAGCCUCAGUUUCCACUUCUGGAAAUGGAGAUAUGGCCCCCUGCCUGCUUCCUCAUGCUGGCAUAAGAAUCAAUGACAUGGUGACAGGACUUUGUAAAUUAUAAGUUAGUAUUAGUUAGGGCUCUUUAGUCACAAAUGUGAGAAACUAGACAUUAAAUGAGGCAAUGCAAAAGGGGGAUUCACCAGCUCAGAGGCCCAAGACCCAGGGCAGGGAGAGGAGGUGCUCUUAUUCCCUCUCACCCCUGCGGGUCAGUCUCUUCUUCCGCAAGCCUGGAGCCAACUUCACCUCCUAAGAGGAGCUUCUCUGCUCUGUCACUGCCAACUUGAACAACCACGGGGAGGGACCUGAAUUGUGUCACAUGUCCACCCAUGGUUGUGAGACACUAUCUCAUGCAGCUUCUUCUGGAAGUCCAUACUGGAGAGCUGGGAAGCUGGGUUUCCCCAAAAUAAGAGAGGUAUUGUUCCCUAGACGGGGGGAAUGUGCUGGGAAGACAUCCAUUGUCAAGGUAACAUUUUCUCAAUCUUCUUGUUUUGAUUGUUGGCAUCAGCAUUAUAAGUCUGCCACAUUUUCCUCAUUCUCAUCAUCCUUAGACAAAAUAACGUAGGGGCCAAGGGCACAGGCUCUGGAACCCAGAUUGCCUGGAUUCAAGUUCUGGUUCUGCCAUUUUCUCACUGUGUAACGUUGGGCAAGUUGCUUAACUUCUCUGCACCUCAGUUCAUAAGUUCAUGAAAAUUAAAUGAGUUGAUACGUGGGAAGUAAGAAUUGUGCCUGAUGCCCGCCAGGGGUUCAACAAAUGCUAAUCAUUAUUAUUGUCAGAAAAAAAGGGGCAGUGCCUGGGAAUCCCAGGAUGAGAGACAGCCUGAAGAAAAACCAUCCUCCUCCACCUACUCCUCAACCUUCUUCCGGGGAGCGCUUACAACUGCAGGAGCUACGGCUCAAUAAAGAUGUACAGAGAUUUGGUGUCAGAAGUGAGAAUACAGAGUAAAACUUCAGCAACCCCCAGGAACACCAGGGAACCAGACCAGAUACCCGUGGAGCCAGCUGUGCCCACUGAUCGCUUGUUUGUAACUGGAGGUUGUGGCUGAAUUUUCUUUCAGAUUCCAAGAUCCAAGAAUCUGUGUUCUCAGCUCUCCAAGUUUGUUUGAGCAAUCUUUGGACUGGGCUGGGUUUGGUAUUGGAUUGGAUUCGAUAAUCAGCUGGAUUAGAUUUGGUUAGAGGCUGAGGGCCUCAGGUGGGUUCCUUUUUGAUAAUGAGUUCAUCUCAAUUAAAAGAGUCUGGGACUCCA